GAUGAACGCUGGCGGCGUGCCUAAUACAUGCAAGUCGAGCGAACGGACGAGAAGCUUGCUUCUCUGAUGUUAGCGGCGGACGGGUGAGUAACACGUGGAUAACCUACCUAUAAGACUGGGAUAACUUCGGGAAACCGUAGCUAAUACCGGAUAAUAUUUUGAACCGCAUGGUUCAAAAGUGAAAGACGGUCUUGCUGUCACUUAUAGAUGGAUCCGCGCUGCAUUAGCUAGUUGGUAAGGUAACGGCUUACCAAGGCAACGAUGCAUAGCCGACCUGAGAGGGUGAUCGGGCACACGGGAAGUGAGACAGGGUCCAGACUCCUACGGGAGGCAGCGGUAGGGAAUCUUCCGCGAUGGGCGAAAGCCUGACGGAGCACCGCCGCGUGAGUGAUGAAGGUCUUCGGAUCGUAAAACGCUGUUAUUAGGGAAGAACAUAUGUGUAAGUAACUGUGCACAUCUUGACGGUACCUAAUCAGAAAGCCACGGCUAACUACGUG
rnacentral:rRNA from 1 species